GUGACACCUAACCGAUGAAGAAAGACUAAGAUUGAAGCAUUUAUUUGAUAAUAAAUACGAAAUAAUAAGUGAAUGCCACAUCUGGAAGGGGGCGUACACUCCAAGCGUCUAUGGUGUUCUGCGGUGUAGUUUCCGCGGCAAAAGGCUAAGGCUUAAAGCUCACCAUGCACUAUAUUAUCUUGAAAAUAAACAUGCCAUGUCAUCAAAAAUGCAUGUGUCACAUUUAUGCCACAGUAAACUUUGUGUCAACAUCAAGCACUUAAGUUAUGGGCCUCAAAGCAUUAACAAAAGGAAAAUAUGUGCUCAUGAAGGUUCCUUAUGCACUUGAAAAUGUUUUCAAGCUGUGUCUUGUUUACAAUGAUGUUCUCAUAGUCAGAUAUAUUUGCCCACUGUUUCCAAUUGUAGCACUUUGAUUUUCAGACUGUGGUACUGUUUGAUGUGGUCGCAGUUUAAUAGGGAGAACGAGUGGACCCCGAGAACGAUUACACGCAUUCAAGACAUCGUUAGCCACAGAAUCACCCAAUCGCACGACACUUUCCAGACUGUGGUACUGUUUGAUGUGGUCGCAGUUUAAUAGGGAGAACGAGUGGACCCCGAGAACGAUUACACGCAUUCAAGACAUCGUUAGCCACAGAAUCACCCAAUCGCACGACACUUUCCAGACUGUGGUACUGUUUGAUGUGGUCGCAGUUUAAUAGGGAGAACGAGUGGACCCCGAGAACGAUUACACGCAUUCAAGACAUCGUUAGCCACAGAAUCACCCAAUCGCACGACACUUUCCAGACUGUGGUACUGUUUGAUGUGGUCGCAGUUUAAUAGGGAGAACGAGUGGACCCCGAGAACGAUUACACGCAUUCAAGACAUCGUUAGCCACAGAAUCACCCAAUCGCACGACACUUUCCAGGUCAGGGUCUGAAUUCAACGGAAUAGAAUCUUGAACUUGUUUCUCUACACAGGGCACAUGCCUGCAGAAACUUAAUAGUUUGGAAAUACUCCUUUUUUGAAAAGUACACCUUUGUUUUUCCUAGCGUGAUUGUUUUUAUAACUGUGC